UACAGAGGGGGCAAGCGUUAUUCGGAAUCAUUGGGCGUAAAGGGCGCGUAGGUGGCUUCUCAAGCGUGCGGUGAAAGCCUGGGGCUCAACCCCGGGUCGGCCGUGCGAACUGGGGGGCUUGAGCACUGUAGAGGCAGGCGGAAUUCCGGGUGUAGCGGUGGAAUGCGUAGAGAUCCGGAAGAACACCGGUGGCGAAGGCGGUGAGCUGGGCAGUUGCUGACACUGAGGCGCGACAGCGUGGGGAGCAAACAGG
rnacentral:rRNA from 1 species